rnacentral:rRNA from 1 species
ACGAACCACACGAACGUUAUUCGGAAUUACUGGGCUUAAAGGGUGCGUAGGCGGCGCGGUAAGUAGGGUGUGAAAUCCCUCGGCUCAACCGAGGAACUGCGCUCUAAACUACCGUGCUCGAGGGAGAUAGAGGUGAGCGGAACUUAGGGUGGAGCGGUGAAAUGCGUUGAUAUUGGAAGGAACGCCGGAGCCGAAAGGGGGCCACUGGACCUCUUCUGACGCUGAUGCGCGAAAGCUAGGGGAGCGAACGGGA